UACGUAGGUGACCAGCGUUGUCCGGAUUUAUUGGGCGUAAAGAGCGUGUAGGCGGCCGGGUAAGUCCGGUGUGAAAACUCGAGGCUUAACCUCGAGAUGUCAUCGGAAACUAUUCGGCUAGAGUCCGGAAGAGGAGAGUGGAAUUCCUGGUGUAGCGGUGAAAUGCGCAGAUAUCAGGAAGAACACCUAUGGCGAAAGCAGCUCUCUGGGACGGUACUGACGCUGAGACGCGAAAGCGUGGGGAGCGAACAGG
rnacentral:rRNA from 1 species